rnacentral:tRNA from 1 species
ACCAAUGUGGCGGAACUGGUUUACGCAGCGGUCUUAGAAACCGUAGCCCUAGGGCUUGGGGGUUCGAAUCCCUCCAUUGGUA